rnacentral:sRNA from 1 species
AUGUAUCACACAUACACUCCGGUUCCUGCGCUUCGGGCGCGACUGGCUGACACCCGCUCGCUACGGUUCUUGGAG